rnacentral:rRNA from 1 species
UACAGAGGUCCCAAGCGUUGUUCGGAUUUACUGGGCGUAAAGGGUGCGUAGGUGGCGAGGUAAGUUCGAUGUGAAAUCUCCGAGCUCAACUCGGAAAUGGCAUUGAAUACUAUCCCGCUUGAGGGUCGGAGGGGAGACUGGAAUUCUCGGUGUAGCAGUGAAAUGCGUAGAUAUCGGGAGGAACACCAGUGGCGAAGGCGACUACCUGGCCUGUUCUUGACGCUGAGGCGCGAAAGCUAGGGGAGAAAACGGG